rnacentral:tRNA from 1 species
GAGAUCGUAGCUCAGUUGGUAGAGCACGGCACUUUUAAUGCUGGGGUCGUGGGUUCAAGUCCCACCGAUCUCA